rnacentral:rRNA from 1 species
GACGAACGCUGGCGGCGUGCUUAACACAUGUAAGUCGAACGGAAAGGCCCUGCUUUUGUGGGGUGCUCGAGUGGCGAACGGGUGAGUAACACGUGAGUAACCUGCUCUUGACUUUGGGAUAACUUCAGGAAACUGGGGCUAAUACCGGAUAGGAGCUCCUGCUGCAUGGUGGGGGUUGGAAAGUUUCGGCGGUUGGGGAUGGACUCGCGGCUUAUCAGCUUGUUGGUGGGGUAGUGGCUUACCAAGGCUUUGACGGGUAGCCGGCCUGAGAGGGUGACCGGCCACAUUGGGACUGAGAUACGGCCCAGACUCCUACGGGAGGCAGCAGUGGGGAAUAUUGCACAAUGGGCGGAAGCCUGAUGCAGCAACGCCGCGUGCGGGAUGACGGCCUUCGGGUUGUAAACCGCUUUCGCCUGUGACGAAGCGUGAGUGACGGUAAUGGGUAAAGAAGCACCGGCUAACUACGUG